rnacentral:rRNA from 1 species
CCCUUAGAUGUCCUGGGCCGCACGCGUGCUACACUGACGCAUACAGCGAGCACUUUCCAGUUCCGAGAGGCUACUGGUAAUCAUCAAUAUGCGUCGUGAUGGGGAUAGAUCUUUGGAAUUCUGGAUCUUGAACGAGGAAUGCCUAGUAAUCGCAGGUCAUUAGCCUGCGAUGAUUAAGUCCCUGCCCUUUGUACACACCGCCCGUCGCUACUACCGAGUUCGAGUGGUCAGGUGAAUCUUUCGGACUGUGGGCGCCCUUGAGGUGUUCGCGGAAAGUCAGGUAAAUCUUAUCACUUAGAGGAAGUAAAAGUCGUAACA